GAUGAACGCUAGCUACAGGCUUAACACAUGCAAGUCGAGGGGAAACGGCAUUAAGUGCUUGCACUUUUUGGACGUCGACCGGCGCACGGGCGAGUAACGCGUAUCCAACCUUCUCAUGACUAAGGGAUAACCUGCCGAAAGGCAGACUAAUACCUUAUGGCCUUCACUGACGGCAUCAGAUGUGAAGUCAAGAUUUAUCGGUUAUGGAUGGGGAUGCGUCGGAUUAGCUUGUUGGCGGGGUAACGGCCCACCAAGGCAACGAUCAGUAGGGGUUCUGAGAGGAAGGUCCCCCACAUGGGAACUGAGACACGGUCCAAACUCCUACGGGAGGCAGCAGUGAGGAAUAUUGGUCAAUGGACGAGAGCCUGAACCAGCCAAGUAGCGUGCAGGAGGACGGCCCUAUGGGUUGUAAACUGCUUUUGUAUGGGGAUAAAGGCAAUCACGUGUGAUUGUUUGCAGGUACCAUACGAAUAAGGACCGGCUAAUUCCGUG
rnacentral:rRNA from 1 species